rnacentral:lncRNA from 1 species
AAAACAAUGAGAAUGAAUGCAAGAAAAAACAGAGAACCAGCCCCAACCUGAAGGAGGUGUUUGACAUAGAAAACAGCUCAUCAAAAUGCAAUUUGAACAAGAUUAGGCUGAAGUAACAGACAAGUCCGGAUAGAUGAAAGAAUGGUUGUUCUUUAGCCCAGGGACUACCUAAUUUACCUAAUUAACCUAAUUUACCUAAUUUCAUCAUCUUAAUCAGUUAGUAAUUAAGCACUCCUCAAGUAAGAGAACUCCUUUGCAUAUGACAUUAAAUCCUAUACUUCACAUUGUUCCAUUCCCGGUCCUAGUUAAAAUUUUAAACUGCCCUUCUCUGCACCUUCCCUUAAAAACUACUUUAUGCCCUUUAUUUUCUCAGCAUACACAUCUCUCUCCUCCAGUAUCCUCGGAUAAUAAAUAACCUUGGUUUUCAACUGAGAAAGUCACCUAGAUUAAGAUUCCCCAUACUACAGCCCAGCCAGAAGAUCCUCCUGUCUGCCCCCUCCAUUUGCCCUUGCGGUUCUUGGUCAAAUCUAAGGAAUUCUUUUCUAUGUACAGCAGACCUGCCCUCUCCCAUGGAUAUACAAAAGAGCUCUAACAAUGUCUCUGUCUUAGUCUGUCUCUGUCUCUCUUUUUCUCUAGCAUCAUUGGGUUUUUCUAUUCUCCCAUGUGAUCAUGUUCUUCUAUGUAUGAGCAUAUUGUUUACAUGUUUACAAGUUAAUCUUUUGGCCAAAAAUGGUAGUGCAUGCCCUACUUUUCCAGCUCUUAGGAGAUGAUGAAGCAGGAGGAUCACCAUAAGUUCGAGGCUACCUUAGGUUGCUUAACUAGGGUCAUGCACACAUUAACCAAAGGUUCUACUAGUAGUCAGAUCCUCAACCCCCCACUUAACCUUUUAUUUUUGAGGUAGGGACUCAAGAAGUUGCUACGAGUAGCCUUCAAUUACCUCCGUGUCCCAGUCUUGUAUUGAACCUGAACCAUAGUACCUCAGUUUCUUGAACAGAUGUGAUUUUAGGCUUGUAACACCAGGCCCAGCUUAAAAAUCAGUCUUUCUUGACUGUUCCUACCUCUUCUAUUAUCUUGCUAUUUCUAUGUUUUUCUUGGAGUCAAGUAUGGUAAACCACACAUUCUCUUUCUUCUACAUUCUGUCUCACAUUGGCACCAGAGACAUUCUUGUUAAGAUCUUUGUAACCACCAUAUUGCCAAAGCCUAUGGUCAAUUUUCAAGCUUCACUUUACUGAAUUCAGUUAAUCACUUCCUUCUUUUUGAAACCAGAGCAGUUUGAUUUCCUGCAAAUCAAUCAACUCUGCUUUUCUUGCUCACUGGUUGCUCCCAAAUCUGUCUUGUUGCUUCCUUGUCCUUGUUCAACCUAUAGGUAUUGGAACAGUGAGGCUCAAUACUUGGAUCUCUUGUAAUCUCUGUCUGCAUUUAUGCUCUACAGAAAGUGAUUUCACUUGUACCAGAGCCUCAGAUGCUAGUCCUCCGCUCAUUACUUCCUGUGUAUAUCUCUGCACCAGACUGUGGAGACCCAACUUUGAAAUGUUACCUGGCAUCUUCACAUGAUUAAUCAGUGAUUCAUUUAUUUUAUUCAUUCAUUCAUUCAUUCAUUCAUUCAUUUGUUUAUUUAUGUCCUUAUUAUUCAUUGGUGUGUGUGUGUGUGUGUGUGUGUGUGUAUGUAUGUAUGUAUGUGUGUAUAUAUUUGUCUAAUUAUUUAUUAGAACUGACCAUGUAGAGCAGGACAGCCUUGAGCUCACAUAAAUGUGCCUGCCUCUGGAAUUCUGGGAUUAAAGGUAGGUGAGUCCACGCACACAGUGUUAACAUCAAAACUGAGUUCUUUGAAAAGGGAGAUGGCUUACCAAUAAGUGUAAGGCUCUGAUUUGAUUCCUAGAAAUGUAGAUGUUGAAUGUAGGGGCAUGUGCUUGUAACCUCAAUGCUAGUGAGGUUGGAAAGGAAAGACUGAGUGCUUGAUGGCCAACAAAUCUGUCUCCAUUGAUAGGCUAUGGUUUAUUGAGACUCAGGCUGCAUGAUACUCCUGAAGAUGAAGUCUGGGGUUUUCUUAUAAGCUUUAUAUACCCAAGGACUUUGGUGCACAUGUGUAUACAAGCAUGCACUUGCACACAUGCACGUACAGGCAUACAUGUACAUGCACUGUACAUGUACUUGCACACACACACACACACACACAGGAACUUGGAAAGGGGGCUUUUUCUCUUCAAACCUUCUCCUUGUCUAACAUUCCUCAAUAUGUCAGGUGCUGACAUCAAAGAAAACUUAGGAAACAUCCUUGCCUUGUCGCAUCCUCUCACACCUAUCCAUAAUUAACCAUUAGACUACAUUAGUUUAUUUAUCCAGGUUCCACUGACAAUUCUUCUGCCCUGGCCACUUACUUCCAUUAUCUUCAUCCAGACCACCACCUUUCCUCCUGGCUGAUGAACACAGCGUGUAACUGACCACUCCUGACUUCCUCUCCAUGGUGGCACAAUCUGCUCUGCACAUUGCCACCAGCCAAGGGGACUGAUUAAAAACACAAGUCAAUUCAAAACGAUCCAGUGGUUUCUCAAUUCCCCAGGAGUACAUGCAAAGCUGCCUACCGUGCUCACAAGGCCCCACAUAGUCUGGCCCCGGCUCCCCUCUGACCUCAUCUCUUACCACCACUCUUCUGCCUAAUCAGCCACAGUUUCGAACACUCCAAGGAAUUGCUCUGAUGAGGUCUCUGAGUUAAUUUUUUAAGUGAAUAUUUCGUCAUAAGCCAUAGAAUUAAUAUGUUUUCGGAAUCACAGUCACAGACAUUUUUUUCUUCUUUUUUUGACCACCUGCAGAACUAAUGAGAAGGGUCAUGAAUUUGCUGUUAGUGAAGUAUUUCUUGGAAAGAAUAGCUCUAAACAUACAUCACACACAUCCAGUUCCCAUUUUCAGUUUAGGGAAAUAUAACUUGUGAAAAACAAAAGUACC